rnacentral:lncRNA from 1 species
GGCCAGCACACACAACCCUAUUGUCCAUCACUUUUCCCAUCACCCUUGUAACAAGCUUCCCUGAACUAGUACUCUACGACACCCCCAUCAUUCUAUUCAAGAGCUUCCCCGAGCAGUUACACAUUCCACUAAUGUAUAAUAUUGCUCCCUAUCACUCGUCUAGGGAGAUUCCCCGGGAAAGUACAUAACGCCACCCCUAUCGCUCAAUCGGAGAUGCACCGGACAAGUGCAAGUGUACUCCCCAUCGCUCUCUUAAGGAGCUUCCCC